rnacentral:rRNA from 1 species
AACGAACGCUGGCGGCAGGUCUUAGGCAUGCAAGUCGAACGGGUGUAGUAAUACACCAGUGGCGAACGAGUGAGUAACGCGUGGGAAUCUGCCCAUCUCUGGGGAAUAACGUUUGGAAACGAACGCUAAUACCGCAUACGCCCGCAAGGGGAAAGAUUUAUCGGAGAUGGAUGUGCCCGCGUUGGAUUAGUUAGUUGGUGGGGUAACGGCCGACCAAGGCGAUGGUCCAUAGCUGGUCUGAGAGGACGAUCAGCCACGCUGGAACUGAGAUACGGUCCGGACUCAUAUGGGGGGCAGCAGCUACGAAUAUUGGGCAAUGGAGGGAACUCUGACCCAGCCAUGCCGCGUGAAUGAAGGAGGCCUUCGGGUUGUAAAGUUCUUUUAGUCGUGACGAUGAUGACGGUAGCGACAGAAAAAUCACCGGCUAACUUCGUGCCAGCCGCCGCCGUAA